rnacentral:lncRNA from 1 species
CGGGGAGAUGCUAAUAAUAUCUAUGAUGGCCCACCCUAUAGCUCUCUUAUGCCUCUAAAAUACUAAGAUAAGUGCAUUCACCUAUUUUUCACCCAAUAAUAAUAAUAGGUAGCGUGUUCCCAUUACCCAGAAACACGUACCGUAGGUGCCCAAGCAAUUCCUUCAAUUCCAACACCGGAGGCUCCUCAAUAGAUGGCUUGGCUGGUGGCGUUGGUCGAUUAUCCAGGUCAAGGUAUAGCUUUUUAGGAUCAUAAGUAUAUGAACCCAUUCUUGUAAAGGCACAAAUGGUCUCUUCAUACUCCCCAAUGCCUUUACUAUCAUAAUUCAUCAUGCCCGUGGCUAAAGGUUCGAUAACAAGUUACUCAGCUAUGGGCACCUCCU